CCAGGUGGAUUCUGUCUACUCCACAUAAUAGACAGAAUACCGCUAAAAUAAAGGAGGAUAAACCCGUCUGACGCACGGUGCGGCAGUGUGGAGACCUGUCGUAAUGCUCCCGGAAUAUUGCUUUCCGGUCAGUGAGAACGCAGCGUUCGGCGUCGAAACAGUAUGGCA
rfam:Firmicutes bacterium CAG:110_56_8 Ley3_66761_scaffold_13265, whole genome shotgun sequence.